UACGUAGGGGGCGAGCGUUGUCCGGAAUGACUGGGCGUAAAGGGCGUGUAGGCGGCCGACUAAGUCUGGAGUGAAAGCCCUGCAUUCAAUGUGGGAAUUGCUUUGGAGACUGGCUGGCUUGAGUGCGGAAGAGGUAAGUGGAACUCCCAGUGUAGCGGUGAAAUGCGUAGAGAUUGGGAGGAACACCAGUGGCGAAGGCGACUUACUGGGCCGUAACUGACGCUGAGGCGCGAAAGCGUGGGGAGCGAAC
rnacentral:rRNA from 1 species